rnacentral:rRNA from 1 species
CCUACGGGGGGCAGCAGUGAGGAAUAUUGGUCAAUGGCCGGAAGGCUGAACCAGCCAUGCCGCGUGAAGGUCAGUGCUCUAUGGGCGUUAAACUUCUUUUGUGCGGGAGCAAUAAUGGUCACGUGUGGCCAGACGAGAGUACCGUACGAAUAAGCAUCGGCUAAAUCCGUGCCAGCAGCCGCGGUAAUACGGGGGAUGCAAGCGUUAUCCGGAUUUAUUGGGUUUAAAGGGUGCGUAGGCUGUGAGGUAAGUCAGCGGUGAAAUGCCCCCGCGCACCGGGGUGAAGUGCCAUUGAUACUGGCUGGCUGGAAUGCGGAUGCCGUGGGAGGAAUGUGAGGUGUAGCGGUGAAAUGCAUAGAUAUAACACAGAACACCGAUUGCGAAGGCAUCUCACGAAUCCGCGAUUGACGCUGAUGCACGAAAGCGUGGGUAUCAAACAGGAUUAGAUACCCGGGUAGUC